GUGGUCAAGAUUAUGUGUAAUAAGAAAUGUUAUUUUUUUAAUAUUUCAAAAUGGUUUUGAUAUUUUUAAAAUCUAGUAGCCAACGCAAGAUCUUCAUAAGCAAAUAUCACAUUGUCAGGUGUAUUUAGUAUGUAUGAAAAAUCCCACAUUUCAACUUGGAAGAAUAUUUGUAAACACAUAAUGGAAUCGGUGGUGGCGUCAAUCGUCAAUUCUCCGUCAUGCUGUCUGUCCGUCUGUGCAUCCGUAUGAGCUAUACUGCCUGACACUGUAGUGGUGUACCUAUAAGCACAUUAAUAUUAACAAACAAAAAAAAAAGAGAACAAUUCGCACUGGUAACGUUUUUUGAGACGCGACUGUGACAACUGUCUGCCUCAACUCUGACUCAAAGCAACUCUGCGUAGUGACGCCCAUACAGUUGGUUCUGGCCAAUGCCUUUGUUUUCUGCAAUUGAUGGCGUGCGCAACAAUAUUCGUAUUGGAAAAGAACUUGGCUCGUUUUGUUGAUAUUAAUUGAAAGAAAUCAAUACAAAAAACGGUGAAAAGUGCGUUCCCACCAAUAUUGGAUAGAAAUUGACAACUUGGGUUCGGUAUGGAAAACUUAUGGACACAAAUUUCCAGUUGGCCCGAUUAAUGCAACUGACUUACUUCAUACUGUAGAAGUUAAAGCAGCAGUAUGUGAGCCUUUAGGGGAUAAAGGAGUCGACUGUGUAAAUGAUGAUAGUUGGCUUGCUGUAUCUCUUCUUUGUUGCUAUCGAGCAGCUGACAAAGACUCCAUGUCUAAUGCAUUUAAGAACAAUGCUCUCAAAGCGAUGCAUUCGGCAAUUGUCACUUCGGCUUUCCAUGAGGUGAAUGAUGAGAUAUCUCUUCGUGUAGUGGGAGAUAAGCUUAUUAGGGAUGAUGAAUUCACUAAAUUGGUUUGUGCCAUUGACAUGUUUCUAAAUAGGUUUCCUAACCACCCCUUAAAGAGUCUCCGAUUGGGGUCAAUAAUCACCCGAAACAAUGGAUUAACUGGUUGGUUGAACUUAGAUUAUCUUAGAGUUCGACUAGGAGUUGACACAAUACAUGAUGCCAUUCAUUGGAUAUUCGUUCCGGCCGCUUGGAAGGAGAUAGACCAGAUGCUUAGGGAUAGCGAAGAAAAAUCUGAUGUUUAUUCUUACUUUCCUUAUAUGAUGGGGUUGAAAUUAUUCAGAAAAAGCCCAUAUUCUGCAGAAUCCAAUCCUGUCACACAUAUGAUCAUUCAUUCAGUAGGCAGUCUGAUGGGAUAUGAUAGAUCAAUCAAUGCUAGGGUACCACGCAGAGAAUGUCCUCUAAUAACUGCAAUGAAUAUAGCCAUUAUAUUUUUACGAUUUUCGACCCAAGACCCAAGCUUCGAAACUCCGUCUGAUUGGGUCGUUUAUUUGAAAGAUCAUGGAAACCAAUUUAAUCAAAAACAUAGAGACUCAUUGGAGCUUGCAAUAAGGAUACCCGUACUAAUUCCGUAGGAAAAUGGGUAACUAACCAUCUAUUGCCUAACUUGAACUUUGAAUGAACCAACAUGAUACAACUGAUGGAAGAAAAAAAAAUUUAUUUAUGGCCUUUGUAGCAUAAGUUUAUUAUGGAAUAUCAUUAGAUCCAAAUUGAAGAAAAAGAAAUUGAAUGAAUUAUUAGUAAAUAAGUAACCCUGUCAAACAUGAAACUUGAAAACUAGUAAUUAAGUAAAACUCCUAAAAUUAAUGUUUAAAAUAUUGGAACUAAAACCAUCAUUAUGAAGUAUAUAAGGAAUUAAUUAUGGAUUAAAAUAGUUUAAUGAGCUCCUGAGAUAAA
rnacentral:sRNA from 13 species